UUUAAAAACAUGUGGGCUUUGGCCAUUUGUAAAUCCAAUGUUUUGUUAUUCGUAAAAUGUUUUUUCCAUUGUAUUUGAAAUCACAGUUUAAAAUGUGAUUUCGAAAAAACGGUGUAGGGGACUAUAUACUCCAACCAAUAAAAAGCAGCCACGUGGCAUAGUCGUUAAUCCAUCAGGUCGCUACGAUCUCAACUUACUCAUAGCUCGACCACAACAACUCGACUACAUAAUCAGCAGCGGCCUGCUAAUACGCACGUGUCCUAAUUCGGCGCACAAGAUAUUCUCUCCAGCUGUUGUCCUAUCAUUACAACUGUUACACAAUCGCUGGAGAAUAUUAUAUCACCAUAAAUAUGUCGGAGAAUCUGCAGGAUCCCAAGAUCUUCGCCUCUUCACCUUCUAUAUAAACAAAACUACGAUGAAUUGAUCUCUAAGUUCAAUCCCCACGAACUAGAGUACGUAGGCAAUCUCAAUCUCAACGAGGUGCAGCCACCCCGAUCUAAAACUCCCCCCAUUGGUUAAGUCUGUUAACGACCUGACCUAGUGAAUGCAUUGAUCUAGAAAUAGGUUAAUACAAACGGUAUAUGCCGAGAUAGAAACUGAGUGUUCAUGGAUAUUUGCAGAUAUUUAUAUAUCCGAUUUUUCAAAAAACCUUUUAAAGUAUUAAGUAACUUGAAGUUAACUCCGCAAUAUAUAAAGAGACAGAAGUGACUAGAAGAAUAUAUGUCAUCCCUUUGUGUAUAGAUACAUAUGAAGAAGAGAUUAACCAAGUGUAUGUAUUAUGGAAGAAAGAGAUAAGUGGACGGUAGUUCCCUUUGUAUUCAUACCAUAUUGCUCUGUAUCAUUCUCAUAUACAUAUGUGUAUAUAUAUAUAUGUACAUAAAGUCAAACACUUAUAUGCUUGUGCAAUAGAGAUUUCUGCCACAUGGAAUUCCUUUGUGACACCUAUUAGUGAUGAUGAAUCAACCAACAUUAACUCCUUCAACUAACUUAGUAGGAUAUGUGGGCUUGAGCUUGGGCUUGUUGAUUGGACACCCACACCAUUCACAACACUCCCCCUUGGAUGUACAAUCCCACCAUAUCAAGGUCAUUGCCUCGUUAAAACCUUGCCAGGAAAACCCAAUGGGAAAAACCAUAGCUAAGGAAAAAGAGUACAAUGGUUGACGUCUUAAUUGGUGUUGGACGCGCUAUAUACUGCCUCGUUAAAACCUUGCUAGGAAAACCCAGUGGGAAAAACCAUAGCUAAGGAAAAAGAGUACAGUGCGCUUCAUGUCCUGGCGGCUCCCCCUGAAGAUAACUCCUCCUUAUGAAAAUCAGGCUAAGCUCGACUUUCGACGCAUCCCAAUACCAUAUGCCAGUUUCUCAAAAGCUGGUGGAGCUAGUGACUUAGUGAACAAAUCAGCGAGAUUCUCAUCAGACCAUAUCUUCUGGACAUUGAUCUCGUUACUCUGCUGGAGUUCAUGAGAGAAGAAGAAUUUUGGAGAAAUGUGUUUUGUUCUAUCACUUCUGAUGUAGCCUUCCCUGAUUUGAUCAAUACAUGCAACAUUGUCUUCAUAAAUCACCGUUGGUGUCUCUAAAACUGAGGGGAGUCCGCAUGUUGAUUGGAUAUGGUGUAUCAAGAGCCUCAACCAUACACACUCACGAGUUGCUUCAUGGAGUGCAAGUAUCUCCGAGUGGUUGGAAGAUGUAGCAACCAAUGUUUGCUUAGAAGAUCGCCAAGAAAUUGCUGUACCACCAUAAGUAAAUACAUACCCGGUUUGCGAUCUUUCUUUGUGUGGGUCAGAUCUAUAUCCAGCAUCUGCAUACCCCUUUAGUUGGGAGCCAUUUGGCGGUUCUCUGGAAUAGUAUAAACCCAUAUCAGUCGUUCCUCGAAGGUAACGCAUAAUCUCCUUUAAGCCAGUCCAAUGUCGUCGGGUUGGAGCUGAGCUAAACCUGGCUAACAAAUUCACUGCAAAUGAAAUGUCAGGUCUAGUACAUUGGGCUAAAUAUAAAAGAGCACCCACAGUACUCAAGUAUGGUACUUCAGGACCAACUAAAGAUUCAUUGUCCUCUUUAGGACGAAAUGGGUCUAAUUUCACAUCAAGUGACCUUAUGACCAUCGGAGUGCGACUUGGGCGACAUUUGUUCAUGUUAAAACGCUUUAAAACUUUUUCAGUAUACGUUGACUGAUGGACAAAUAUUCCAUGCGUCGUAUGUUCGAUCUGCAGGCCGAGACAAUACUUUGUUUUACCGAGAUCUUUCAUCUCGAACUCAUUCUUUAAAGAGUUUGAUGCUCUGGUAAUCUCUUCAGGAGAUCCAAUUAUAUUUAUGUCAUCGACAUAAACCGCAAUGAUGGCAAACCCUAAAUUUGCUUUCUUAAUGAUAUACAUGGGCAAAUGGGAUCAUUCUUGUACCCUUCCUUUCAGUAGGUACUCACUGAGGCGAUUGUACCACAUACGCCCGGACUGUUUCAAUCCAUAUAAUGAUCUCUUAAGCUUAAUAGAGUACAUAUUACGUGGUUUUGCUUCAGGCAAUUUUAAUCCUUCAGGGACUUUCAUAUAAAUAUCAGUAUCCAACAUUCCGUAAAGAUACGCAGUAACCACGUCCAUGAGAUGCAUGUCGAGUCUUUCAGAGACUGCCAGACUGAUUAAAAAUCGAAAUGUAAUUGCAUCCAUCACGGGAGAAUAGGUCUCUUCAUAAUCAAUCCCAGGUUUCUGCGAGAAACCUUGUGCCACGAGACGAGCUUUAUAUCUUACAAUCUCGUUUUUCUCAUUGCGUUUCCUUGCAAAUACCCAUUUGUAACCUACAGGGUUAACAUUCUUGGGGGUUAGGACUACAGGUCCAAACACAUUUCGUUUUGCAAGAGAAUCCAAUUCUGCUUGAAUUGCAUCCUUCCAUUUUAGCCAAUCAUGUCGUUGUCGACAUUCCUCAACAGUAUGUGGUUCAAGACCAUCAUCAUCUGCUGCAAUCUCAGCAGCUACGGCAAAGGAGAAUACGUCAUCGAUGACAAUUUUGUUUCUAUUCCACAACUCUCUUGUGCAUGCAUAAUUUACAGAAAUUUCAUCAUUUUCAGGUACCUGGGCCACAUCUGGGGCUUGUGUCACUUCAGGGACGGCCACUUCAGGGGCCUGUGCCACUUCAGGGACGUAUUCCUCUUCAAGAGGUUUUUGUUUAGAGAGAGUGUGUUUUCCUUGCCUUGUAGUCUCUCCAGGAGCGCUAUUUACUUGAGGUUUUGUUUGGUUUUUCCUCUUCCGGGGAUUUGAGUCUUUUGAACCAACAGGUCGUCCACGCUUCUGGCGUACUUUAGACGAUUCAUUUGCUGCCACAUUCGCGGGUUGUCUUUCAGAGACGUGUCGUCCUUCAGGGACAGAUCGUCCUUCUGGGACUUCAAUUCGCACAGGCGCAUUAGCAGCUGGUACAUGUGACCUUGUCACUUUUGCUGCGUUUGUAAAACCAUCAGGCAAUUGCCAAGCAAUUUUCUGAAGGUAAAUGAUCCUUUGUACUUCAGUUUCACACAAAGAAGUACGUGGAUCAAGAUGAGACAGAGUUGGUGUAUACCAAGUCAAUUUAGGUGCUUCUGCGGGAAGCCACAGUUCACGUCGUUCUCCAGGAACAGACGAAUUUCCUCCCCCUAAAGACGGGAAGGCUGUCUCAUCAAAGUGGCAAUCCGCAAAUCUUGCGGUAAAAACAUCACCUGUCAAAGGUUCAAGAUAUCUAGUAAUAGACGGAGAAUCAAAACCAACAUAAAUUCCUAAUCUACGUUGCGGUCCCAUUUUUGUGCGUUGGGGUGGCGCAAUUGGAACUUGCACCGCACAACCAAAUGUUCGGAGAUGAGAAAUAUUUGGUUGAUGACCAAAAGCAAGUUGUAAAGGAGAAUAUUGAUUAUAUGCAUUUGGUCUAAGUUGAACCAGUGCGGCGGCAUGCAAUAUAGCAUGUCCCCAUGCAGAAACAGGCAACUUCGAUUUCAUAAGCAUGGUGCGUGCAAUCAUCUGAAUAUGUUUGAUAAAGGACUCUGCUAAUCCAUUCUGUGUAUGCACAUGAGUAACGGGAUGCUCGAUGUCAAUCCCUAUAGACAUGCAAUAGUCAUCAAAGGUCUGUGUUGUAAAUUCACCAGCACCAUCAAGGCGGAUGGAUUUAAUAGGGUAAUCAGGAAAAUGUGCCUGUAAUCUAAUGAUUUGAGCAAGAAGUCGUGCAAAUGCCAUAUUUCGUGUAGACAACAGAGACACGUGAGACCAUCGUGCAGAUGCAUCAAUUAACACAAGAAAAUAUCUAAAUGGUCCACAAUGUGGGUGUAUGGGUCCACAAAUAUCUCCUUGAAUCCGUUGUAGGAAUGUAGGAGACUCAGUAGUGACCUUAGUCGGAGAUGGUCUUGUGACCAACUUACCUUGAGAACAAGCAGUACAAACAAAGUCAUUAGAUGCAAGAAUCUUCUGGUUCUGCAAACUAUGCCCAUGUGAAUUUUCAAUAAUUCUUCGCAUCAUACUAGCCCCAGGGUGACCCAAACGGUCAUGCCAUAACAUAAAUGUGUUAUGGUCAUGGAACUUCUGGCCCAUUACUGCAUAAGAUUCAAGGGGCUUGAUGGUUGUGUAGUACAACCCUGAAGAGAUAGCCUUAAGUUUCUCUACAACCUGCUUCUGUCCUGAAACUUCAGAUGUUAUACACAAAUACUCAAUAUCAUGAUCAUUCAUAGUCUCGAUGUGGUAACCAUUAAGACGUAUAUCUUUAACACUAAGUAAAUUUCUUGUGGACUUUGUGGAGUAUAAAGCGUCCACAAUGUUGAAUAUGGUACCACCAGGGAGCAUGAUAUGGGCUCUGCCAGAGCCUUUAACAAGACUUGAUGUACCAGAAAUAGUGUCCACAUUAGCCUUCACAAAUUUCAUUUGUGAAAAGUACCUACGGUCUCGUAAAAUUGUGUGUGUCGUGGCACUGUCUACGAGGCAUACAACUCUACCAUCCGCAAGACGAUUAUGCAUGCUAUAUGCGGGAUCCAUAUCCCUUCAUAGUACAAGAAAAUUAAAGUGAGUACGAGUUAAGAUAACACACACUUAUUAUUUAUUAACAGACACAAUACCAAGUAGUACAGAACAAAAGUACAUAUAAACAGAUACAUGAUAUAAAACGAUAGAUAUAGACUUAAUUGGUGGGGAAACCUCCAUCAAAGAAGUCAAGAUUAUACUCUGGUUCCACAAUGAAAUCAUCAACAUUAAAAAGAGUAGAGUCUUCUGGCUCAGACUGAUCGACAAAGUUUGUUUCCACUUUCUUUCCUUUAUCAUUCUUUGAUGUUUGAUAAAGCUCAACCAAGUGUUUGGCCGUACGACAGGUACGCGACCAAUGUCCUUCCAUACCACAACGAUGACAAGUGUCAUUACCAGUCUUAUGGUAAUGAGUGCUACUGGCACCUUUCCCUUUAUCCUUUUUAGGCUCAGUGUCAUCCCACUUCUGGUGGUAUGGGGUACUUCUGGACCCUUUGUGGUUGGAAUUGUUGUGAUGAGGACCACCACUCUUGUAGUAUCGGCCACUUCUGGGGCAUUUGCCUCUUUUGGGCCCAUUCCACCUUUUAUUACCACGAUAUGAUGACGCAUGUGCUUCAGGCACAGGGGCAGAGCCAGGUGGCCCUUUGUUAGCAUUGCUCAUUAGGAGCUGCUUACUUUGCUCGGCAGAAGUAAGAAUUUCAUUCAACUCUGAGUACUUCUUAAGUCGGCAUUGCCGAUACUGUUCGUGUAGGACCAUAUUUAUAGGAUGAAAUGUAGAUAGUGUUUUAUCUAUCAUUUCUUCCUCAGUAACAGGAUGCCCACAUAACUUCAGGGUGGACGCGAUUUUCAACAACUUCGAGUUGUAUUCAGAAACAGUUUUGAAAUCCUGAAACCUCAAGUGUGACCACUCAUAUCGAGCCCUUGGGAGGGAAAUGGUUCUAUGGUGGUCAUACCUUUCUUUGAAAUUCUGCCAAAGAAUCUGCGGGUCUUUGACAGUGAGGUAUUCAGUUUUCAAUUCCUCAUGGAUAUGGUGGCGAAGAAAAAUUAGUGCUUUAGCACGGUCCUGCUGGGACAGCUGAUUUCCUUCUUUUAUGGAGUCUUCCAGACCUAUGGAAGCAAGAUGUAAUUCGAUAUCAAGUACCCAGGACAGAUAAUUUUCACCAGUAAUAUCCAAAGCAGUAAAUUCCAACUUGGUAAUAUUAGACAUAUUUAUAAUACGAAAAUCAACAAACUUACCCAAAUACUUACACUGGUAACACCUUGUUGAUAUAUACACUUCUUGUAGUUGUUGGACAAUAGAGCAAACUCGUGCUGAUAACGUUUUAAAGUAUUAAGUAACUUGAAGUUAACUCCGCAAUAUACAAAGAGACAGAAGUGACUAGAGGAAUAUAUGUCAUCCCUUUGUGUAUAGAUACAUAUGAAGAAGAGAUUAACCAAGUGUAUGUAUUAUGGAAGAAAGAGAUAAGUGGACGGUAGUUCCCUUUGUAUUCAUACCAUAUUGCUCUGUAUCAUUCUCAUAUACAUAUGUGUAUAUAUAUCUAUACUCUCUAUUAAAGUUGGACUUGCCCUUAAGAAAAAUUUCUCUUUCUAAAUUAGAGUAAAUUUGAUGCUUCAAUUGAAGAGAAUUUAACAUAAAUUAAAAUUUAAAGGGUCUUUAUUGUAAAUUUAUAUCUAAUAUGGCUUAAAUAGCUAGAUGGCUACAUUUGAUAGCACUAUGGCCAUAUAUGUCUUUUUGCACAAAUAUAUUAAUGACUAACCAAAUUUAAUGGAAAUAUAGCUAUAUUUAUCUUAUUAACCCCCCCCCCACCCCACACACACACACACAAAAAAAAAAAAUAAAAAAAAUUCAUACUUUACCUUCUUCCUUCCUCGACAUCUACCCAUGUUCCUGAUACAUCAAAUUCAAUCUAUUCUCUCUUCCUUCUCCAAAUAGUUGUUGGAAACACACACACACACAACCUUCAUUACAAUAGACUAUGUGAAUAUCACGUAGUAGUACAAUCAUAGUUGAAAAUAUCGUUUUUCCACGAAUAUCCGAAUUCUGAAAAAACGGAUUUCUCCGGGGAUAUUCGAAGCUCUUUGUCGAAAAAUUGGGGUUUUCUUUUAAGCGUAAUUAAAAAUUUUAAUUGUAUAAUAUAUUUUUAUCCCCCAAAAAAUAGAAAAGAUCUAGACUUUUACCUAUUUUGACGGUCCUUUCUCUUUUUCUUUACAUUGGGGUCCACAAUUGAUUAGUUUUUAAUAAAAAAACAGUAGACAAUUUCUGUUGAGUACAUACUGACCCUUAGAUAGAUCUACCUUAGAUUUAAUCCAACGGCGUUUUAUAAACCCUAUCUUAUAGAUUGAUUUUUUUGAAGUCAAAACAGAUCGUCUUCUCCACUCUCCAGAAUCCUCAAUAGAAAAAAAAACACAUUUCCACAAAUAUGCAAGAGAAUUUAGUAAACAAUAUGCACAAUAUACCACAAAUCUAACCUUUUUUUAGUCAAACCUUUUAUAAAGAACAAGAUAUUCGAGAUCUAAACUUAUCUAAAGAUCAAUGUUUGCCACUUUUAACGCAAAAUGUCAAUGUUUUUGCGAAAUUUUCGCUAUAUAUCCGAAGAAUGACGAAUAUUCGAAAAACUUCAAACUAAAUGGGGAGGUUUUUUAUUCGAGAAUGCUCCGACAUCGGUACCGAUCCAAAUUUUGAAAAAACGGAAAGUUUCGUGAAUAUUCGCUCGGCACAACCGAUUUUUUCACCUAUGAGUACAAUACUGUGCGUCUUCCAUUUUUCUUUGAGUACAUGUUAGAAAUAAAAUUAUGUGCGCUUUAUAACCAUACAACAUGAUUAUGUUGCGUAAUUAUACUGUGAAUUUCGGGAUUAGUUUAAUCUUAUUUAUCAAUUAUACUAAAAAAAUGGGUAUUUGAAAAGCUAGCCUUCAGCGAAAGGUUAACCCAGAUUAUAAAUUUAAUAGUAUUUUCUGAAAUGAUGUACAGUCUAGACAUAGCCAAAGUUCAACCCAAUAACUUGACAAUGAAGUGAUUUUUUUUAGGCAUUAUUUGGGGAUUACGAAAUAAUAGGGAUACACCUAAAUAUAAAUUUUGAGUUUUUUUCCUGAUUUUUGUCGUGAAAGUAGGGACAGGGAGAAUCGGAAGAUAUAAUUUAUAUAUAGGUCCAACCAUUUUUUUUUUUACUAAAACUAAAAAAUGAAGUCCAAAUUUUUUGUUUUAUACCAAGUAUAGAAUUUUGUAGAUGAAAUAUUUAUUAUAGCAAAUGUAUACUUAGUAUAGAUAUGCCAAUAAACAUGUGGCUCAAAUGUAGUAUCCCUCUCACAAAGUGGAGAUGUUGUCGGUUCGAAACACGUCAGCAGCUGAUUGUUUGAUUGAAAGUUUCCCUCAACGUCGCUUACCAAUAAUAAUAAUAAUAAAAAAUGUAUAUGUUACCUAUUAUAAUAAGCUUCAAUAAGCACUAUAUAUUUUGCAAUCUAAUAUUUUAUCAUAUGCUUCAACUUGAUAUUUCAGUAGUUUUGUUGGGUGGAUUAAUUGUGAAUGGUUACUUUACUACCGUAAGUUAUUAUAUACUAUGUUCUUGCUAAACCCUUUUUAUAUUCAAAACUUAAGCCUAGACUCCAAACAAAAAAUGAACCAAAUCAAUAUGAUCAGUCUAAUUCAUGGUUUGAACAUUCGUAAGAAUAAAAAAAAAAAAAUCAUACCAUGAUUUAUUAUCGCAAUGAAGUAAAAACUUAAUAGAAAAUUCAAUAAUUGCUAAACAUUAUAGCUCAAAAUCUUAGUCAAACAUUCAAAAAAUAAGCAUUUGACGAUAAACUAUUUCAAAAAUUGAAAUCAACCAUAUUUAUGAGAAAAAAAAUUAGUGGUGUAAUAAAACUGUAAAAAUAACAAUUAAACGAAUGACAUACAUUAACAAUUUUUUUUUCAAGAGACUACCCUAAUUUACUUUAUUUAAUAACAUCCGUGCUUUGCACGGGCUUUAUAACUAGUAUGUACAUAAAGUCAAACACUUAUAUGCUUGUGCAAUAGAGAUUUCUGCCACAUGGAAUUCCUUUGUGACACCUAUUAGUGAUGAUGAAUCAACCAACAUUAACUCCUUCAACUAGAUUAGUAUGAUAUGUGGGCUUGAGCUUGGGCUUGUUGAUUGGACACCCACACCAUUCACAACAAAACCGAUAUUAUUCGUGGGAUAUCUGCGAUAUUUUAAACUAUGUUUGAAAUAACAUUUCACAUUGUUUCCGACAGCUUUGUGCAUAUGAAAUGCGCAUUUUCCUAGAAAAAAAAGGGUCAUGAUUUUAUGUGAAGUGAAUAAAUUCUUUUGAUGAUGAUUGAUGAGUAGCAUUUAGCUAGAGUGGGGUCAUUUAAGAUAUGUGUAUAAUUAAGUGAAAACUAUCUACAUGUCUAGGCUCUUCGACAAAAAAUCCAUGAGUCAGUUUGGUCCUGUAUAACAUGCACCUAUGUGAUUGCCUGGGUUUACAGAGAUGGAAUGCUUGCGCGACUCUUCUGCUAAAGAUGCUGAUGUAUCUUGGCUGAUGAGUAAUCAGUCUUUUGAAUGAAUAAAUUGGCAAGUGAAGAUUGAACAUUUGAUAGUUGUUUUCCACCAAAAAAGAUACUGUAGUUGUUUACCUAGCUUAUUUUUUUGGUUCAGUUUGGUGAUCCACUCCACCAAAGUUUAUUUGUAAAUAUAGAACUGCGAGAUACUAAUUGGUGACCUCAGAGAUAUAUAUAUAUAAAUUAUAACAAACAUGAAAAGAAAGACUGAAAUGAUAAAAUUUUCCAACCAGAAAAGACUCAAACAGGCUACUUCUGAUUGUUGAAACCUUCCAGGGUCUAUGGUCCAUGGUCCAUAAACACACCUCAUACAAUUUCCUUUUUAAUACAACAUAUAUACACUGCGCUGCAACAUUACAUUCAAAGUAGACCAAUUCCUAAGUGUAGACUCUAUAGCUAGGUCAGCAACACAGACUCAUGAAUUCCAAUAUUUUGAAGUAACGGUCACAGUACGCUGGUUACAAAUUCACCUCUAUAAAUGCUUUCCAAGCAACACAGCUAUUACAAUUUACAAACACCAAUAUCUUCCCCACACUUGUUUCUCUUGAUUGUUUAAGAAAUUAUGAUGAGUACUUGGUUCAGCUUAACUUCAUUCUUUGAAAGCUAUCUUCGUCGUACUUUCAGUUCUUCUGGUCUCUUACCUCAAACUAUAGAAAUUGAUUCACAAACAACAGUGUCCUUCUGGGGUCCAAACCCAACUUUUCAUUCCAUAGAAAAACCAAAUUUAGUCUUACUCCAUGGUUUCGGUCCAAGGUCUGUAUGGCAAUGGGGACCUCAAGUCAAAAUCCUUGCCUCACAUUUUAACCUCUAUGUUCCAGAUUUGAUCUUCUUUGGUAACUCAACAACCAAAUCUAAAGAGCGAUCAACAGUUUUUCAAGCGGUUUCUAUAGGAAAAUUGCUUGAAAAAUUAGAAGUGAAGAACUUUUCUGUAAUGGGGACAAGUUAUGGUGGAUUUGUAGCUUAUCAUAUGGCAAGGUUGUUUAAGGACAGAAUUGAGAAAGUUAUUAUAGCAAGUUCUGCUCUUAAUAAGAAAGCUAGUGAUCAUCAGGUGCUUUUGGAGAAAGCCAAUGUUAAGAAAGCUGAAGAUAUUAUGUUACCAAAGAAUCCUAACCAGUUGAGAAAUUUGAUGAGGUUGGCUGCGUUCCAUCAACCGCCCUAUUUGCCCGACUUUUUGCUUAAUGACUUCAUAAAAGUGAGUAUAUUUUGUUCAUCCAACUGCCAAUACUGAAUUCUUCAUUCUUCUUUCUCAUAAUUCAUAAUAAACCUUUUAUGGUUGCAGUUUGCGUUCAUAGAGAAUUUGGAGGAAAAGAAACAACUUAUGAUGGAAUUUGAUUUUGGAGAUGAUGUUCAUUUACAGAUUUCUCCUCUUCAACAGGUAUGUUGAGCCCUCGUCCACGAACUAAAUUAUGUAACAUGUGUUACAUAUGAGAUUAUGAUAGAAUUAUGUAUUUAAAACGUUGGCAAAAAAUAAGCUGAUAAAUCUUGACGUAUGUCUUUUGUAGGAGGUAUUGAUAGUUUGGGGAGAGAGUGACAAAAUCUUUCCAUUUAAGAAGGCCCUGGAGCACAAGGAGUAAGUAUGCUGACAAAAUGACUUUGUCUUACAAACAAUGGAAUUAAGGGCAAAGCUAAUACUUGUUUUCUUUUCUAAUUUUGUUUUCAGGCUUUUAGGAGAAAAGGCUAGGUUGGAAGUGAUCAAGAAUACGUCACACAUGCCUCAUGGUGAGGAUUCAAAGAAGUUUAAUGACAUUGUCAUGAGAUUCUUAUCUGGGCCGCAGAUUGUUUCAAUGAAACCCGAAACUAUAGGUGCUAGACUGAGACGCUCACUGUUUUUAAUUUUCACUCUUAAGUAAUCUUUAUUGUAAACCUCUUAUAUAUAAAACUGAGUUUUUGUAUAAAAUGAUGAUAUACUGGCAACUAGCAAGUAAUAAAAGAACAAUUUGUGACUUGAAGACAUUAUUUGGUUGCAACAAUCCUUCACUGAAUGUUGUUCGUUGAUUUGUUAGGUUAGGUAUCUACACUCUAGUCUCUACAUACAUUUCUCAAUACCCUCCAUUAUGAUUGAUCUUGACAGAGAGACCUAACAACAAAUUGUAACAGAGCAUAAAUUCUUGCCAGGCCUGAUUGAAAGACUGCUUUGAAAUUUAGAUUUUCUUACAGGAACCAAACUUUAACAGACCAUCAUGGACGACACAAGACCAUCACUCUAUUAAUAAAUCCUAAGACGAUUACUCGAUCAUACUGCCCCUCUGGCUAACAAUUACCCAAAGAGAGUUAUGAAGGAAAUAAGUUCCGUUGUACUCUUGGAUUGGUUUAAAACUCACUACAUGAGAUGUUAUUCUUUUAAUUUGGUCGGUUAAUCAGUAAUAUAUUCAAGAAAAUAUGGGAUUUUAGCUUCGAUCAACUUAUAUUCAUAGUUUGAACUUUUUAUAUUCUUGUAUCAGGGGAAUUAAAGUGUAUUUGUCUGACCUCAACACCAACAACAUCAGCCAGGCUCCUCAAAUUCAACAUACACCUUGGUUUCACAUGUCAAAUAUAUGUUAUAAAAAAGUUUUCAAAUCUCAUCCGAGGUCAGCUUCACGGCUUACUGGUGCAUAAUUAAUAAUUUUCAACCAGUUAGAGGAACACGUGUCCAACAUGAAAAUUUUAAUUCCCAUGACAGUUCACAAGUCGUAUAGCUUCAAGCUUUUGUAAAAAGUAAAAACUAUGAACCACAUUGUACAUAAUGGCGUCAUUCACAAAAUCACCUUCUCUCCAAGAAAGAAAUUUAUAUAAAUUAUUGAAUAAUUCCCUACGAAUAAGCAUAAUGUUCAUAUAAAAAUAAAUCCCAGCGGCUAGUUUUUGUUUAGCAUGCUCAGAGAAUAUGACGUACAAUACAAACUACAUAUGGGAAAUAGUAAUUCCAAUACACUAACCUCUGGGUGUUUUAGUGUCCUUGUAUGCAAUGUGGCCCCUGCUCCUAGCCGAAGUACGAUAAAUGGAUGUGUUUCCAACCUCCAAUUCAGCAUCAUCUGGAAUAGAAAUAUCCUCUACAUUGCUUACGAUUUCGUUACCCUCAAACUCUCGGAAAGCAUUUUCACUUUUAUACUCAUGAAGGUUAUGUUCUUCCUCCAUAUCUGAGAACUCGUUAUAAGUUUGGAUAUCCCGUUUUUUCCCUCUAUAACCAAUAUGACGUUGUACCUUUUCUUUCCAAAGAACCAAAGGGCACUUCUCAAUGAGCUCACUCCUGUCGUAAGCUUCUGUUAAAUAUACACUUAAUCUCUUACCUCUUUCAGAGACAUAAAAGAUCCCACAAUGUUUCAAAAGGAGUCGCAUCAACUUUUGAGGCAUUAUGAGUUCCUUUCUGAAAUGCGUGAGGUAAUCAGUAACAAGUCUCUUCUCCAUAGUAAAACUAAGUAGCUCAUGCAUGACAGCGAUUGCUCUCUUAUCAAAUUCCUGGGAGCCAGCCUUCAAUCCUCGAGCAUCUGCAUAUGGAGAUAGAUAAGACCGUUUCUGAAAGUGUUCGAUUUUUCCACCAAACCUAAAAAUCUUUUUGUAAUUUGGAGGGAACUUCAUAGGGAAAGGAAGCGAAAGAACCCCAGGGACAGGGGGGUCCAACUCAUUUAUCCCAAUGACUUUCUUUUCUAACUCUGUAACAGCCCAAGCAGGAUUCCAAGAGACAAGUUCCAAAUACUCAACAUCAUCCCUAGGCUUAACUACCCUGAAAUUUUCAGGAUACUUAUGAGCCCAAUUCGUGCGGAAAUCAUAUGGUAGGCCAAAAUCUCUUCGAAAAUGCGCAAUCUUGUCAAUUGGGAUUCGCUUAUCAACUGACAUCAUUAGGAACCUCGUAACAUAUUCUGCAACUUUCUCCCCAAAAGACUCUAAUAUUGCAUCCUCUUCUUCAAUCAAUUCUUCAGCUUCCUUGGUCAUUCCACACCAAGUUACUCCUCUUUGAUCUUUAUACAACUCAAAGAGUUUAGGUGAUUUCUGAAUAAAUUCCGAGAUCUUAUAAGGCUUUUUCAAAUUAAUCUGUCUCCUGUAUUGUUCAAGCGACCUAAUAGGAAUAAUUUGUUCAGGUUCUUUCUUCAAAACUUCCAUUAAAAACAACACUUUUGAAGCUAUUUUCCACUUCUCUGUCACUAUUUCCAAAUCAUGUACUCUCUUAUUCUUACUUCUGUCUUGUAUUCUUUUACUUGUUGUCAUUAAACGUUUCUGCCCCUCUAAGCAAACUCGCAAUAAACCAACUUCCGCAUAUCCAUUUCUCACAUAAUACUGCUCAUUUCUACCAAAUUUGUUCACUAAAUCCGAUAACCUUAUCACCCGAUUAAUACCCAUUGUACCAAACUCAACAAAAAACACUACAUAUAAGAGAUAGGCAUGAAGGGUAUCUUUAUUGAGCUCAUUCACGGAUUUGUUGAAAACAUUACUUAUAACAUUCUAAUCAUUGAAACAAGCAGAACCCAGAAAUUGCCGUGCUUCAAUGAACAAAAGAUUAUACCUUUAGAUCAACUGCUUAAAUCUGUUUGCUUAAGGAAUUUCGACAAACACUUGGGCUGCACUUUUCUGGCAAAACACAACAUAAAGAUAUUUUUGUUCACGAAUGAAGAAGACAAAUUAUUCAGGAACUUUAAAAUGAUGCAAUUGGGCUGGGCGGAAAUGUCUAGUAAAAAUUCGAAAGAGGCUCAUGGGCCAACGUCCAUGGAUCCAAAUUGGAUAAUUCAGAUGUCAAAGUUUUGGAGUUUGGAUUAGUUAGGCAGUUAGUCCUAUGAAUCCCAACAAGCCAACAGCAUAGAUUUGUCUCCAAUUUUGGUCAGAAAUACAUGCCCAGCAUAGGGUUUUUUUUUCAAGGAAUUUUGAGUUUGGCUUUAAUCGAACCUGAAUAUCAGAUGUAGAAAGAAAACGAAAUGACAAAAACCGCAAAUUUUGAACUGUAUAAGAGUUCCAAUUGUCAACUGUCACUUACAAGUUCAAAAAUUAAAGCAACAAAAAAAAGAAAAGCUUAAGAAUUUCACUUACAAGUUCAAAUUAGAAAAAAGGAGCAGCAACAACAACAACAGCAAAGACUGCUUCUUUUCUCAAAAUCUCAAUUUGAUCAAACAAAAAAUUCACAAUUUGAUCAAACUAAUAAUUGAACAAAAAAACAAAAACAAAAAUCAAAUUUUCAAUCGAAUAAUAUACCCUAAUUGUAAAAUCAUACAUUAACAGUGUGGAUACCUGUAAGCAAUGAAGAAGAUUUUAAGCAGAGGUGGUGUUGAAGAAAUUGAAACUAUAACAAGUAAUUAUCGCCGUUUGUUGAAUGAAGAAGAUUUUUAGCAGAGGUGGUGUUGAAGAGAUUAAAACUAUAACAACUAAUUAUCGCCGUAUCGCCGUUUGUUGAAGAAACUGUGGUGGUCUCGGUGAGAAUUGAAAGAGAAGACGGUUUUAAGAGAGAGAGAGAGAGAGAUAUGGAGUAGAGCCCGAUGUUUAGAAGGAAAGAAAGUCAAUUAGGUUUGACCAAUCACUUCCUUCUUAUAUACCAUUUCAUACCACGUGAGGGGAAAAGUGAUUUAUGAUAACAAUUGGCACAGUUUAAAAACGUGGCAACUUUUGGCACACAAAUAAAGCGAUCCAAAUUACUUAAAAACCGAACCAAAAUUUGGCUCACUUAUAAACUGAGGCAAACGGAACGUGCCAAAUUAGAAAACUUGGUGUAGUGUACUGUGUACUGUGUACGCACCCGCCCCGACCCCUCUUUCCCUAAAUCCAUCACUGUCAAAGACCCUGCUUCACAUCCAUCCCAAACAUGAAAUAAACAAUUUUAUAUAUCUAGAAGAUUGAAUGGAUAACAAAUUUGAGACCUCCAUUAUGCUUCUGUACGGACAUUCAAAUUUUCUAGAUGAUAGUAUCAACCUAUAUUGACCUGUUUAUUGCUUUCAUGCGCUAUUUGACUUCUCUUGAGGCAUAAACCGUACCUAAUUACUUAAUUAAUGCAUUAUCAAAUGAGUCCGGGUAUUCUGUUGCUAUUGUAAACAUUUUGACACGUACCCAAUAAAAAAUAGUAAGUUAAUGUCAUCUAUAUUCCGUUAAAUUUUUUAGUUCAUAAUUCAUAUUAGAAAACAAUCAUAAAUAGAUCUCUUUUCUUCUUCGUUAUUUUUUCUCCAAGUCAAAUUUCCCCUUCUAUAAAUUGAACACUAAGAAAAAAAAAUAGCAAUCAAUCUUCUAGUAAUCUAUAUUUCUCUUCUUUUCCACUCCCCUUAAAUAACUCAUAGAUUGAAGAUUUGGAGCUUGUUAGGGAAGAGGAGAAACCUAAUCAAAACAUGAGAAUUAUGAAUUAAAACCAAGAGUAAAAAAUUCUUGGAUUACACCAUGUCCCCAUUUAACAAGCUAGUCUCGAUUUGUUAUGAUCUUUUCAUUUUGAAACAACUAUAAGCCAUAUAAUUCAAGAAAACUUUACAAAUCAAGACUUGAAUUCAUGGGGUCUAUUUCAACACCCAAUUUUUUUAUGUGAAUAAUUCACAGCUACAACACCGUUUCUUCUUGUUUUUGUUUGUAUUCCUUGUGUCCAAUUCAAACUUGGGAUUUACUAAAAAAAAAAAUAACAAAAAAUUAGACUUUGGAGAGAGAAAAACAAUGAAAAGUAUUUUGGUAAUAUUUAUAUACUGUAUUAAAAAAACUAAGACUUAACAGCAAACAAAACUGUUAAAAUGAGUGUUAGUUAUGGACACAUGGCAGAAAAUUUAAUAUAGCAACAGAGGUCUUAUCUCUGUUGCCGGCUACAGAAUACCCGGACUCUUAUCAAAUGUGACAUAGAGUCAAAAUGUGUCCAUCAUCACUUGCCUCUUACCAUACGUCAUGUGGAACUCUCAUUACUCAUUACCUAAUUAACAAAGGAAUUAUACUGGUUACUAGUUUAGGGGUGGGCACGGUUCGGUUCGGUUCAACUUUUCCACUAAACUGAAACCGAACUGUGCAAGUUGGUUCGGUUCGGUUCGGUUUCAAAAACCGAAAAUUAUUAUUAAAACUGGGUUGGACCGAACCGAUUUGAUUCGGUUCGGUUCGGUUCGGUUUUCGGUUUGGGCUUUAUUAUGGGCUUUUGUGUUUUGGGCUUUAAUAACUUCAUUUUUUUUAUUUUUUUUUUUGUAAUUUUUUUGAAUAUUUGAAUAUAAUCUAAUAUUUAUAAAAAAAUAAAAAAAAAACAAAAAAAAAAAUCAUAUAUAACGUGUAUAUAUAAGUAAAAAAUAAAAAAAUAAAAAAUAUAUAUAUAUAUAUAUAUUAAUAAAUAUAUAUUCGGUUCGGUUCGGUUUGAACCGGAAUAUUAGAAUAGAAAUUGGAACCGAAUUGUAUAUACUCGGUUCGGUUCCGAUUCCAGUUCGGUUUUGACCGGUUCCUAGUCAACACAGUUUUGACCGGUUUUGACCCGGUUCGGUUCCGGUUUUAAUUCAGUUUCCCGGUUUUUUGCCCACCCCUAGUUUUAACUAUAUACCAUUAGAUUAAAAAAAAACACACACAUACACACGCGUUUUAAUUUGCUAAUUCCAUCGUUGACUUCAUCAUUUUUUCAAAUUUAGAAUUACUUAUUGCAAUAUAGAACUCGCUCUAGUCUCAGGCAACACACACACAAAUUAGACAGCUGAACUGGUUUACAAGGCCACAGCCAUUUUUAUUCCUUUACACUUGGGGAAUACAUUCACUUAAGUCUGUUUUCCCAAUCAGACCAAGUCUGGUUUUAUAGACCAGCAACUAUACACAUGUCAUGGUGUGAUAGGUCCUCACCUACCCUUAUCUAUACACAUGUCAUGGUGUGAUAGGUCCUCACCUACCCUUAUCUAUACACAUGUCAUGGUGUGACAGGUCCUUACCUAACCUAAUCACUAGUGUUUCACCAAACACUCUUUUCUUGCCAGGUGUGGCAGUUUAACUAACUUCCUGUUGAUGUGUUGCACACCUGUUUGCCCAGCAAACAUAUUCCAACACUUGUCAAGCCUAGCCAACGAAUGCUCGCCACCUGGACUCAAGGCAAUGUCCAGCACACUGCCACCAUGUAUUCCCAAUCAUUUAGCCAAAUGAACCAUCAUCAAUGCACCAGCAUGAUCUACCUUGUCGUCUGACAAGAAUGCAACGUGGUACUGCCUACCGCGCUUUGGUUCCUUGUAAUCUGACAAUGCCCGUACCGGGGCUGCAUUUUGACAUACUUUCAAGCUUGUCAAAAAUGCUCAGGGCCAAAAGGUCUAACAGCUUCCUACUACAAAAUCUAAGCUACUGAAGUACUGAUCAUAGUACAAAAUAUCGCAAUAUAUCACGAUAUAUCGCGAUAUUUAUCGGUUUUCAAAGAAAACGAUACGAUAUAUUCCCGAAAUUUUCGCCUUAAAGUAUCUGUAAAAUAUCGGCCGAUAUUUUUCGAUAUAUUCCGAUAUAUUCGAUAUUUUUCGAUAUUUUUCGAUAUUUUCUGGAAAUAUUAUUUUUUUUUUUGGAAAUAAUUUGUUUAUUCUAUUUUUAGUAGAUAUGAUGUUUUUUAGGUAAAUACUAUGAAAAUAUACUUUCAAAUUUGAUUUUAUAUAUAUUUUGUAUAACAAAUUGAUAUAUUAGUCGAUACAUUCCAUGUAAAAUAUCCACCGAUAGAUUCCAAUAUAUCCCGAUAUAUCUAUUUUUUGGAGAUCGAUACAUUAGUCGAUAACGAUAUUUUGUACUACGGUACUGAUAUCGUUACAAGGAUUCCAUUUUUUUUUAUUUUGUAGGUCAGGUACCCUUAUCCACAGUGGAGUCACUAUCAACUGAUAUAAAGCACACAUUUUAUAUCGAUUACCCUACAACUAAAAUACAAAUAAUCCUUCUUUCGUGUGGAACCCCACACGAAUUAAACACGAGGAAAACAUCAAUCUAAAUAUCUUUCUAACCACGUUCUUAUUCAACCCCACCGCGUUCCUUAUUACUUCAAUCUCCUUUCAAUUCAUUCCACGUGUCUUCUCGUCUUACUAUCUUCAUCUAAACACGCUUACUUGGACUCACUUCAUCACUCUUUUAAGUCUCACUCUCUGACUAUAUCUCUUCAUAUUUCACAUAUAAAAAGAGCCGCCAUUCUCAAAUCUUCAAACAACAACAACAACAAACAACUUACAUACAUACAUAAGCUUCCAUCUUCUUCACUCUGGAUCAAUCAAGAAUGGUGAAAACAACACAACCAACAACAACAACAACAACAACAACAACACCAACAAGUGACGAUGCCAAACAAAAAAGGAUUAACGACGAUAACAUUCGAUUUAAAGGAGUAAGAAAAAGAAAGUGGGGGAAAUGGGUAUCAGAAAUCCGUUUACCAAAUAGUCGUGAAAGAAUUUGGUUAGGUUCAUAUGAUACACCGGAAAAAGCUGCACGUGCAUUUGAUGCUGCUCUUUAUUGCUUACGUGGAAAACAAGCUAAAUUCAAUUUCCCACAAAAUCCACCUGAUAUUCAAGGUGGUACUUCACUUAAACCACAUGAAAUUCAAGUUGCUGCUGCCAACUUUGCUAAUCAAAUCCCAUCAUCUUCAUCUUUAUCACAACAAAUAGAUUCCCAUAAUCAUCAUUUUAAUGACUUCGUCGUGCCUUCGUCUCCCCCACAGUCGAAUUCAGAUAGCGGAGGUGUUCAAACAGGAAGUGAUUUAUCAGUUAUGGAUUGGCCUUUAUUGGAUUUUUCAAUGAUGACUGGUUCAGAAAGUAGUACACCAGAUUUUGGUAAGUUUGGUGGACUAGAUGAUUUUGCAGAGAAUUAUUUGGCGCCAGAAUUAAAUUUUGAUAAUUAUGAUGAACAAGAAAUCAACGGUGGAGAUUGUUCGCAGAGCUCUUUUCUUUGGAAUUUUUAACAAUAGGGAAAGAGAAAGAGAAAACAGAGUAACCAGUGUCAGAUAGCCGACGAAUUUUAAUUGUUGGAAUUUCUGAUUAGUUAAGCCGGAUUUUUAUUGGGUGACGAUCGUUUUAAAUGACGUCAUUCCAUUUUGAUUUUCAGAAUAGUUUACGCACGUGAGUUUUUGUUAUGGGAAAACCAGUGACUGGCAUAACUUUUGGCUGACGUGGAAAAGCUAAAAGCUAGCAUAGACUUAUAUUUUUUUUUUUUUUUUGUAUUUUUCUAUAUAUUCAAUUGAUUUAUUUUAUGUCAAUUGUAAAGUGUUCAUGUAACCAUUCUUUUCAUCUAUAAAAUGAAUAAUAAAAAUAAGCAUUUUCAAUCGAG
rnacentral:lncRNA from 1 species